GUACUCAGGUGAAUAUGAUGCUUGUGAUGUUACUCUGAGUGUAUAUCCGGUGUGGAUAUACACUCAGAAUAACAUCACAAGCAUCAUAUUCACUU